rnacentral:rRNA from 1 species
CACUCCUACGGGAGGCAGCAGUGGGGAAUAUUGGACAAUGGGCGCAAGCCUGAUCCAGCCAUGCCGCGUGAGUGAUGAAGGCCCUAGGGUUGUAAAGCUCUUUCACCGGUGAAGAUAAUGACGGUAACCGGAGAAGAAGCCCCGGCUAACUUCGUGCCAGCAGCCGCGGUAAUACGAAGGGGGCUAGCGUUGUUCGGAUUUACUGGGCGUAAAGCGCACGUAGGCGGACUAUUAAGUCAGGGGUGAAAUCCCGGGGCUCAACCCCGGAACUGCCUUUGAUACUGGUAGUCUUGAGUUCGAGAGAGGUGAGUGGAAUUCCGAGUGGAGAGGUGAAAUUCGUAGAUAUUCGGAGGAACACCAGCGGCGAAGGCGGCUCACUGGCUCGAUACUGACGCUGAGGUGCGAAAGCGUGGGGAGCAAACAGGAUUAGAAACCCGGGUAGUCCC